AUUGAACGCUGGCGGCAUGCCUAACACAUGCAAGUCGAGCGGAUGAAGGGAGCUUGCUCCUGGAUUCAGCGGCGGACGGGUGAGGAAUGCCUAGGAAUCUGCCUGGUAGUGGGGGAUAACGUCCGGAAACGGGCGCUAAUACCGCAUACGGCCUGAGGGAGAGAGUGGGGGAUCUUCGGACCUCACGCUAUCAGAUGAGCCUAGGUCGGAUUAGCUAGUUGGUGGGGUAAAGGCCUACCAAGGCGACGAUCCGUAACUGGUCUGAGAGGAUGAUCAGUCACACUGGAACUGAGACACGGUCCAGACUCCUACGGGAGGCAGCAGUGGGGAAUAUUGGACAAUGGGCGAAAGCCUGAUCCAGCCAUGCCGCGUGUGUGAAGAAGGUCUUCGGAUUGUAAAGCACUUUAAGUUGGGAGGAAGGGCAGUAAGUUAAUACCUUGCUGUUUUGACGUUACCAACAGAAUAAGCACCGGCUAACUUCGUG
rnacentral:rRNA from 1 species